CCUACGUGUGGCAGCAGUGGGGAAUAUUGCGCAAUGGGGGGAACCCUGACGCAGCCAUGCCGCGUGAAUGAAGAAGGCCUUCGGGUUGUAAAGUUCUUUCGGUAUUGAGGCAGGAGUGUAUGUUAAUAGCAUACAUUAUUGACGUUAAAUACAGAAGAAGCACCGGCUAACUCCGUGCCAGCAGCCGCGGUAAUACGGAGGGUGCGAGCGUUAAUCGGAAUAACUGGGCGGAAAGGGCACGCAGGCGGUUAUUUAAGUGAGGUGUGAAAGCCCCGGGCUUAACCUGGGAAUUGCAUUUCAGACUGGGUAACUAGAGUACUUUAGGGAGGGGUAGAAGUCCACGUGUAGCGGUGAAAUGCGUAGAGAUGUGGAGGAAUACCGAAGGCGAAGGCAGCCCCUUGGGAAUGUACUGACGCUCAUGUGCGAAAGCGUGGGGGGCAAACAGGAUUAGAUACCCCUGUAGUC
rnacentral:rRNA from 1 species